AGAGCGAACGCUGGCGGCAGGCUUAACACAUGCAAGUCGAGCGGGCGUAGCAAUACGUCAGCGGCAGACGGGUGAGUAACGCGUGGGAACGUACCUUUUGGUUCGGAACAACACAGGGAAACUUGUGCUAAUACCGGAUAAGCCCUUACGGGGAAAGAUUUAUCGCCAAAAGAUCGGCCCGCGUCUGAUUAGCUAGUUGGUGAGGUAACGGCUCACCAAGGCGACGAUCAGUAGCUGGUCUGAGAGGAUGAUCAGCCACAUUGGGACUGAGACACGGCCCAAACUCCUACGGGAGGCAGCAGUGGGGAUAUUGGACAAUGGGCGCAAGCCUGAUCCAGCCAUGCCGCGUGAGUGAUGAAGGCCCUAGGGUUGUAAAGCUCUUUUGUGCGGGAAGAUAAUGACGGUACCGCAAGAAUAAGCCCCGGCUAACUUCGCGCUAGCAGCCGC
rnacentral:rRNA from 1 species